GGGGGGGGCACGGCUCCCUCUAAGCGUGACGGAGCUGGAGGCGCUGGCUUACUUCUUCCCUUCAUUCUGCUGUCAGUGACCGAGAUCCCCCUUUAAACGUGCCUUGCCUUUGUCCAGAUGCUCUUUGUCACAUCACUCGGUGUAAUUAGGAACGACAAUAAACUCCCUCCUCCACGUAUUUUUAGUGGAAAAUAAAAACACAUUUUCUAAUCCGGAACCGCACAUCGCAGGAGAAUUGAGAGGACCUGGCUGAUGGAGGGCUUGGGGGGGGCGGAGGAGGAGUCCUGAAGCUUCCAGGAGGAGAGAAAAAGCUUCCAGGUUUUCUUAAAAGGCCCUUGUAAGGCGGGUUGGCGCGCGGGGGCCCUGGUGGUGCGCGCGGCAGGUCGCAGGACGGUGGCUUCAGGGGCAGCCGGGCUGCAGGCCCGCAGUCUGUUGGCGGAACGACUCUGGACUUGGAUCUAACAAAGCCCAUAAAAAGAGGCUCGGAGACUUGUUUUCCGGCCUUGCAGGAGUCCGGGUGGUUUUAAAUGAAGGGCAGAUGUAGCCCGAGGCCUCAGGCUGCCUCCCCCAGUCCUGCUGCAACCUUGUUAAAAGAUAAAAAGAAAGGCAGGACUUUUACGGGAAGAAAGAAGCCGCGGGGCCAGGAGGCUGCUGGGCUGCCGGAGAGGGCCCAGGGGCACGGGUGCACAGGUCUUCCAGAGCCGCUUCUCUCCCUGCUGACGUCGUGGCUCCAGGCUGUCCCCCGCGUCCCCUCCCAGAAGGCAGCCGGAGUGGCCCAUGUCCCAGGUGCGACCACGCUGCUGCCCCGGAGUCCUCCCAAGGCUCCAGGUGCUGCUGGGGGGAAGCCAGACACCCUCGCAGCCCCUCGCACGCCCCGGCUCCCUCUCGCCUUCCGCCCGGCGUCGGGCCCACUGGGGGCCUGCACGGACCGCUGGGCUGCAGGACUUUCUCGGAGUCAGGAGGGCGCCGGGCCUGCUCAGCCAGGGGGUGGCCAGGGCCGAGACCCUGCUUGGAUGCCUCGGGAGCCACCGGCAGCAGGCAGGGAGGAGCGGGAACUGGAGACAGAGCAGCCCGCUGCCAGUGGCCACCUUGGGGCGAGCCCCUCCCAGGCUCCCAGCGGCCCCGGGGGAUUGUGUCCCAGGGUCUUCCCAGGGCCCCGCUUGUUCCUGAAUUCCACUUUCCUCUUUUCCCCUGUUGUUACGGACUGAAUGUUUGUGACUCCCAAAAUACACGUGUUCAAGCCCUAACCCCCUACAUGAUGGGACUAGGAGGUGAGUAGGCCCCGGGGGCGGCACGCUGGUGAUGGGCUCCGGGAGCUUUUAUGGGGUUGCAAGGAGCUUGCUUCCUCGCUCUGUUUUCCGCAGGUGAGGACCCAGGGAAGUCGACGGUCUGUAACCUGGAGGAGGCUCUCACCACAGCUGACCACGUUCACACGUGACGUCAGACCUCCGGCCUCCAGAACGGAGAGAAGCCAGGUCCGGUUGUUUCAAAGCUGCUCAACCUACGCUAGUUUGUCACAGCAGCCUGAGCUGGGGGGACCUGCAUGUGACACCCCGGCCCUUCCUUCUGCUGGAGUGUGAACUUCUCCUUGGUUAUGGGUUCGGGCGUUCCUGGGCCGCCUCCCCUGAAAGUAGCUACUCUGCUCUGUGCUCCUGGGGCAUCUGGCUCCGUCCUCUGGCUGACCCGCUGGUUGUCAUCAUCUGUCCCCUUGCCUGUGUGGUCCGGGAAGCGGGUCCCUUCAUGUCUGUGUGGCUGGCCCAGCACCUGGCACAUAGUAGGGGUGCAACGGAUUUGUGUUUGGGGUGCCACAGGAUGCACACUUGCGAGUGCUAGCAUUCUGGGCUUAGAAACAGCAGCAAAGGGCAGCCCGGGUGGCUCAGCGGUGUAGCGCCGCCUUCGGCCCAGGGUGCGAUCCUGCAGUCCUGGGAUCGAGUCCUGCAUCGGGUUCUUGCAUGGAGCCUGCUUCUCCCCCUGCCUGUGUUUCUGCCUCUCUC
ensembl:lncRNA